GCACCUCCAUCCCAAGCCCUGGUCGUCGUCCCUCAUCGCUGCCUCUCGUCGGUCCGCUUCGCUGUCGCUGUCGACCUCGCCCUCGCCUAAGAUAUUCCUCCUCACCCUCGAUCUUGUCCUCCUCCUCUCCCAUCACUACUUUUUGCCUACCCGAUUGAAUCCCUAACAUCCUCGGAUCGCCCUCAUUCUCCUCCGCCCCCACUGCCCCAAACCUCGAACCUAGAUGGUUCUGUCUUCGUUCUAUAC
rnacentral:lncRNA from 1 species